rnacentral:tRNA from 1 species
UAUGCCUUAUUGUAUGAUGCAUAAAAGUUUUUGAUACUUUUGGAGAUAGUUUAAUUCUGUUAGGUAUAA